rnacentral:rRNA from 1 species
ACCAGACUCCUACGGGAGGCAGCAGUGGGGGAUAUUGCACAAUGGGGGAAACCCUGAUGCAGCGACGCCGCGUGUGGGAAGACGGUCCUCUGGAUUGUAAACCACUGUCCCCAGGGACGAAAAUGACGGUACCUGGGGAGGAAGCUCCGGCUAACUACGUGCCAGCAGCCGCGGUAAUACGUAUGGUGCAAGCGUUAUCCGGAUUUACUGGGUGUAAAGGGAGCGCAGGCGGCGCGUUAAGCCUGGUGUGAAAGCCCGCGGCCCAACCGCGGGACUGCAUUGGGAACUGGCGCGCUGGAGUGCCGGAGGGGUGGGCGGAAUUCCUGGUGUAGCGGUGAAAUGCGUAGAUAUCAGGAGGAACACCGGCGGCGAAGGCGGCCUGCUGGACCGCGACUGACGUUGAGGCUCGAAAGCGUGGGGAGCGAACAGGAUUAGAUACCCCGGUA